rnacentral:lncRNA from 1 species
GAUGACAAAGCCUUGCCUGGGUGGAACUUAGGGGAGUGGCAAAGCCUCCCCUUGGUCCAAGACAGAGUGUUUAGAAGCAAUUGACCCAUGUAUGUAGAAACUACCAACCACAACUUGCUCCUCCUGGUGUUUACAGCCUGAGACUGCUUCCUUCCAGAAACCUCAGAAGACCUCCUCCUUGUGCCAAACACAAUUGUUUGAGUAGUCUAACAGGUGCCCUCUAUCAAGGUGAGCAGAGAUCAUCCAAUCCUAGCUUUUCUGCACAUGUCCCUGUCAUUUCCUCGCUGUCUGUCAUCCCUUCAUUCCCUGUCAGGAUUCCAGGACAAAGCCGUGUAGGACCAGGUAACCUCUCUUCCUCAACAGCCCUGUUUUGAGACCAGUUUCCCAGUGCGCAUAGAUACACAAAGGCAGCAAAACAUAUACCAGGUCCAAGAACUAAAACCAUUCUCAUUAUUAAACAUGCAGCUGGCCCUCUGACCUUUGAGCAGUCUUCCACCGUUAAUGCAACACAUGGAAUACUUUCCAUAAAAGGUUUUCCUCCACUAAAUGAUAGCACCAAGAAGUGAGCAACUUUAUUUUUAUGGAUGCAAUUGUUUGAACAUAAAGGAUCCCCCAGUGAUUCAUAAGUUGAAGGCUUGGUUCCCAGAGCAGCAUGUUCAAAAGAGCUUGGAUGAUGAGGGCUCUAAUCUGGUUAGUGGAUUAAUCCAUUGAUGAACUCAUGGCUGAUUGGGGCUUUUGAAGGUGGUAGAAAUUAUAAGGGGUGUGGCCUAGCUGGAGGAAGUAGAUCUUUGGGGUCAUGCCCUUGAAGGGCUUACUUUAUCUCCAGGCCUUUGGUUUCUGUUCCUAGAACUGUCUUUCUGCUUCAGCUGCCAUGAGGUCAGCACACCCCAACCCCCACAUCCCUACCCCACACCCCCGCCAUCUAUGACUGGUCUCUGCAGUCAAGUGACCACAGGCUGAACUCUCAGAAGCCAUGAAGCAAAAAUAAAUCUUUUCUCCUUUAAGUUGAUUUUCUCAGCAUUUUAUCUCAGCAAUGGAAAACUGAGUGAUCCAAUUGGUCUCUCUACUUUCUCCUGUAGUUAAAGCAAAAUAAAUGUGAAACAAAACCAGGAAAUUCCAUCACUCCUAGUAUCAAGAAUUUAAAAGCCAGAGAGAUGGCAACUGUGCUAGCUACCAGCUAAUUGACCACUUGAGCUCAGUUCCCUCGGCUCACAAGGUAGAAGGAGAGAAUUGACCCUGUAAGUUGCCCUCUGACCACCACAAACACACCCACAAUUAAUCAAUUAAGAUAAAUUUUAAUUUUUAAAGUAUUUAAAUAUUAAUAAAUUAGUAUGAUGCUAUUUAAAUUAGAUAAUGUACAGGAGUAUACUGUGCUAUGAAGUUCUCCCCCAAAACAGAUAUUGUUUCUGUACCAAAAUUAAGAACAUUGUUUGUUACAAUUAAUUCCUGAAUUUGGACCAUUUUAUGAAAUCAGUAUGUCCACUUUCAAAAAUAUUUAGGAACUAUAUUUAUUCUCAAAACCUUCAUACUCGUUCAAGUAACUCCUAAAAUUACCUUUGCAAUAUUUUUUUUCCAUUAAGCCUACACACAGCGGCCCACUCUACAACAUUUUGUGUGUGUGUGUGUGUAGUUUCAAUCAUUGAAUGACUAGGAAAUUGGGGAAAAUAUCAGAAAGGAUAUUGUUUUGUUUGGGCUCAGAGUGUAAAGUAGUGCAGUGAAUUCAAAAGUAUUAGUCAAAAAUCUCACAGAACACACUACUGUAUAAUUAGUAGUUCCAAGAAUCUGCAAUAAGAAAGCACUACCAAAAAUAAGCAUCUACAAAAUAAACAUAAAGAACUCAGGGUUGCAUAACUCAAAAAAUAUUUUAAGCUGAGCAGUGGCUUCCCCUAAUCAAAUUCACAAAUAACCCUAGCUCUGCAAAGAGGGUACAAUGUUCUUUCAAAAUGAAUGCAGAAUCAAAUGUGUUUAAAUACUGUUCAUGCCUGGAGCACACCACACUGAGUUACAGAAUGAUAGCCAUAAUUUCUGUUUCUGCAGAAAGUACAAAUGUUCGUAGAAAUAUUACCCAAAUAUGCUUUAUAGACCUUUUAAGCGCUGUCAGAGUCCAAUUUUGAGUCUAAAUCAUGUUCUACUUUGAAAAUAUGUUUAAACUAAUUAUC